GUCGACGAACUUCUUUAUCACCGAGUGCUUGCACUCACCGAUAAAGAGUUGAGUGGCGAACGGGUGAGUAACACGUGGGCAACCUGCCCAAAAGAGGGGGAUAACACUUGGAAACAGGUGCUAAUACCGCAUAACCAUAGUUACCGCAUGGUAACUAUGUAAAAGGUGGCUAUGCUACCGCUUUUGGAUGGGCCCGCGGCGCAUUAGCUAGUUGGUGGGGUAAAGGCUUACCAAGGCAAUGAUGCGUAGCCGAACUGAGAGGUUGAUCGGCCACAUUGGGACUGAGACACGGCCCAAACUCCUACGGGAGGCAGCAGUAGGGAAUCUUCCACAAUGGGCGAAAGCCUGAUGGAGCAACGCCGCGUGGGUGAAUAAGGUCUUCGGAUCGUAAAACCCUGUUGUUAGAGAAGAAAGUGCGUGAGAGUAACUGUUCACGUUUCGACGGUAUCUAACCAGAAAGCCACGGCUAACUACGAGCCAGCAGCCGCGGUAAUACGUAGGUGGCAAGCGUUAUCCGGAUUUAUUGGGCGUAAAGGGAACGCAGGCGGUCUUUUAAGUCUGAUGUGAAAGCCUUCGGCUUAACCGGAGUAGUGCAUUGGAAACUGGGAGACUUGAGUGCAGAAGAGGAGAGUGGAACUCCAUGUGUAGCGGUGAAAUGCGUAGAUAUAUGGAAGAACACCAGUGGCGAAAGCGGCUCUCUGGUCUGUAACUGACGC
rnacentral:rRNA from 1 species